rnacentral:rRNA from 1 species
CCCUUAGAUGUCCUGGGCCGCACGCGCGUUACACUGAUGCAUUCAACGAGCUUAUAACCUUGGCCGAGAGGCCUGGGCAAUCUUGUUAACGUGCAUCGUGAUAGGGAUAGAUUAUUGAAAUUAUUAAUCUUGAACGAGGAAUUCCUAGUAAACGCAGAUCAUCAAUCUGCAUUGAUUACGUCCCUGCCCUUUGUACACACCGCCCGUCGCACCUACCGAUUGGAUGGUCCGGUGAAGCCUCGGGAUUGUGGUUCUUGCCGCUUUAUUGUGGCGUGACCGCGAGAACUUGUCUAAACCUUAUCAUUUAGAGGAAGGUGAANUCGUAACA